CACGAGCGAGAGAGCGCCGCCAUCAACCGCAUCCUUGGACGCAGGGUCAGACUAGACCUGCACUAGACCUAGACUAGACCUAGACUAGACCUACACUAGACUUACAGUAGACCUGUACUGAAGCUGUUACUUGUUACUUUCAAUUCUUUGGUAGUCUUGCGCCAUCUGCACCUCAGGGCUAAACCAGGGCCAAACUAGGACUAAAACAGGAUUAAAACAGGACUAAAAUGGGACUAAAGCAAGACUUAAUCUAGCCUAAAAGAUGACUAAACAUAAACCUGACCUCCCAGUCAAAAAGAUUGACUGGAUUCCAGACCAAGAAAAAGUCUCUGUAUGUAUGGAGGGAGUCAGUGGAACGCUCUGUCUCGUGCUGAACAGUCCAAAUACUUUGACUUGGCCCAGAGGGAGAGACUGUUGCACCUGCAGCUGUACCCGGGCUGGUCCGCCAGAGACAACUACGGGAAGAGGAAAAGGAAAGACAACCAGAGGAAAAUUACACUCAAAAUAUCAUCAUCUUUGGAAAAUUGCUUGUCUCCAUGAAGAUUUGAUUGAAAUGUUCCAC